rnacentral:rRNA from 1 species
GGAAAGCAUUAGAGAUAGUGCCCCCCUUGUGGUCGGUGUACAGGUGGUGCAUGGCUGUCGUCAGCUCGUGUCGUGAGAUGUUGGGUUAAGUCCCGCAACGAGCGCAACCCUUGUUCUGUGUUGCCAGCAUGCCCUUCGGGGUGAUGGGGACUCACAGGAGACCGCCGGGGUCAACUCGGAGGAAGGUGGGGACGACGUCAAGUCAUCAUGCCCCUUAUGUCUUGGGCUGCACACGUGCUACAAUGGCCGGUACAAUGAGCUGCGAUACCGUGAGGUGGAGCGAAUCUCAAAAAGCCGGUCUCAGUUCSGAUUGGGGUYUGCAACUCGMCCCCAKGAAGUAGGAGGGGCCCGUAAUGGUUGAU